rnacentral:rRNA from 1 species
CGGCAACAGCUCAAAUUUGAAAUCUGGCCCUCGGGUCCGAGUUGUAAUUGGUAGAGGAUGCUUUUGGUGCGGUGCCUUACGAGUUCCCUGGAACGGGACGCCUUAGAGGGUGAGAGCCCCGUACGUUUGGUCGCCAAGCCUCUGUAAAGCUCCUUCGAC